AUUGCCCUAGUAACGGCGAGUGAAGCGGCAACAGCUCAAAUUUGAAAUCUGGCCCUUUCAGGGUCCGAGUUGUAAUUUGUAGAGGGCGCUUUGGUGUUGGCUGCGGUCUAAGUUCCUUGGAACAGGACGUCACAGAGGGUGAGAAUCCCGUACGUGGUCGACAGUCUUCACCGUGUAAAGCCCCUUCGACGAGUCGAGUUGUUUGGGAAUGCAGCUCUAAAUGGGAGGUAAAUUUCUUCUAAAGCUAAAUAUUGGCCAGAGACCGAUAGCGCACAAGUAGAGUGAUCGAAAGAUGAAAAGCACUUUGGAAAGAGAGUCAAAAAGCACGUGAAAUUGUUGAAAGGGAAGCGCUUGCAAUCAGACUUGCCUGUAGUUGCUCAUCUGGACUCUUGUCCGGUGCACUCUUCUGCGGGCAGGCCAGCAUCAGUUCAGGCGGCUGGAUAAAGGCCUCUAUCACGUAUCUUCCUUCGGGAUGACCUUAUAGGGGAGGUGUAAUGCAGCCAGCCUGGAUUGAGGUCCGCGCAUCUGCUAGGAUGCUGGCGUAAUGAUUGUAAGCGGCCCGUCUUGAAACACGGACCAAGGAGUCUAACAUCUAUGCGAGUGUUUGGGUGUCAAGCCCGGACGCGCAAUGAAAGUGAACGGAGGUGGGAACCCUCACGGGUGCACCAUCGACCGAUCCUGAUGUCUUCGGAUGGAUUUGAGUAAGAGCAUAGCUGUUGGGACCCGAAAGAUGGUGAACUAUGCCUGAAUAGGGUGAAGCCAGAGGAAACUCUGGUGGAGGCUCGCAGCGGUUCUGACGUGCAAAUCGAUCGUCAAAUUUGGGCAUAGGGGCGAAAGACUAAUCG
rnacentral:rRNA from 1 species